rnacentral:rRNA from 1 species
ACGAACGCUGGCGGCGUGGAUAAGACAUGCAAGUCGAACGAGAGAAUUGCUAGCUUGCUAAUAAUUCUCUAGUGGCGCACGGGUGAGUAACACGUGAGUAACCUGCCCCCGAGAGCGGGAUAGCCCUGGGAAACUGGGAUUAAUACCGCAUAGUAUCGAAAGAUUAAAGCAGCAAUGCGCUUGGGGAUGGGCUCGCGGCCUAUUAGUUAGUUGGUGAGGUAACGGCUCACCAAGGCGAUGACGGGUAGCCGGUCUGAGAGGAUGUCCGGCCACACUGGAACUGAGACACGGUCCAGACACCUACGGGUGGCAGCAGUCGAGAAUCAUUCACAAUGGGGGAAACCCUGAUGGUGCGACGCCGCGUGGGGGAAUGAAGGUCUUCGGAUUGUAAACCCCUGUCAUGUGGGAGCAAAUUAAAAAGAUAGUACCACAAGAGGAAGAGACGGCUAACUCUGUGCCAGCAGCCGCGGUAAUACAGAGGUCUCAAGCGUUGUUCGGAAUCACUGGGCGUAAAGCGUGCGUAGGCUGUUUCGUAAGUCGUGUGUGAAAGGCGCGGGCUCAACCCGCGGACGGCACAUGAUACUGCGAGACUAGAGUAAUGGAGGGGGAACCGGAAUUCUCGGUGUAGCAGUGAAAUGCGUAGAUAUCGAGAGGAACACUCGUGUCGAAGGCGGGUUCCUGGACAUUAACUGACGCUGAGGCACGAAGGCCAGGGGAGCGAAAGGGAUUAGAUACCCCUGUAGUCCUGGCAGUAAACGGUGCACGCUUGGUGUGCGGGGAAUCGACCCCCUGCGUGCCGGAGCUAACGCGUUAAGCGUGCCGCCUGGGGAGUACGGUCGCAAGAUUAAAACUCAAAGAAAUUGACGGGGACCCGCACAAGCGGUGGAGUAUGUGGCUUAAUUCGAUGCAACGCGAAGAACCUUACCUGGGCUUGACAUGUAAUGAACAACAUGUGAAAGCAUGCGACUCUUCGGAGGCGUUACACAGGUGCUGCAUGGCCGUCGUCAGCUCGUGUCGUGAGAUGUUUGGUUAAGUCCAGCAACGAGCGCAACCCCUGUUGCCAGUUACCAGCACGUGAAGGUGGGGACUCUGGCGAGACUGCCCAGAUCAACUGGGAGGAAGGUGGGGACGACGUCAGGUCAGUAUGGCCCUUAUGCCCAGGGCUGCACACGUACUACAAUGCCCAGUACAGAGGGGGCCGAAGCCGCGAGGCGGAGGAAAUCCUAAAAACUGGGCCCAGUUCGGACUGUAGGCUGCAACCCGCCUACACGAAGCCGGAAUCGCUAGUAAUGGCGCAUCAGCUACGGCGCCGUGAAUACGUUCCCGGGUCUUGUACACACCGCCCGUCACAUCAUGGAAGCCGGUCGCACCCGAAGUAUCUGAAGCCAACCGCAAGGAGGCAGGGUCCUAAGGUGAGACUGGUAACUGGGAUG